CCCGGACCGCGCACCGCGGUCUCUGUCCGAACCGACCCUGGCGUACUUCCCCAACGCCAGGUGCGCGACGUCGGACAGGGGCCACGGUGCACGGGCCGGGAUUC
rfam:Mycobacterium fallax strain DSM 44179 contig_57, whole genome shotgun sequence.